GACGAACCGUGCGAACGUUGUUCGGAUUCACUGGGCUUAAAGGGCGCGUAGGCGGACGGUCAAGUCAGGGGUGAAAUCUUUCAGCUCAACUGGAAAAGUGCCUCUGAUACUGAUCGUCUCGAGGGAGGUAGGGGCAUGUGGAACUUCCGGUGGAGCGGUGAAAUGCGUAGAUAUCGGAAGGAACGCCGGUGGCGAAAGCGACGUGCUGGACCUCUUCUGACGCUGAGACGCGAAAGCGUGGGGAGCGAACAGG
rnacentral:rRNA from 1 species